rnacentral:rRNA from 1 species
GGGGAAUAUUGGACAAUGGGGGGAACCCUGAUCCAGCCAUGCCGCGUGUGUGAAGAAGGCCUUAUGGUUGUAAAGCACUUUAAGCGAGGAGGAGGCUCUUUUGGUUAAUACCCAAGAUGAGUGGACGUUACUCGCAGAAUAAGCACCGGCUAACUCUGUGCCAGCAGCCGCGGUAAUACAGAGGGUGCGAGCGUUAAUCGGAUUUACUGGGCGUAAAGCGUGCGUAGGCGGCUUUUUAAGUCGGAUGUGAAAUCCCCGAGCUUAACUUGGGAAUUGCAUUCGAUACUGGCGAUCUCGAGUUCGAGAGAGGUUGGUGGAACUCCGAGUGUAGAGGUGAAAUUCGUAGAUAUUCGGAAGAACACCAGUGGCGAAGGCGGCCAACUGGCUCGAUACUGACGCUGAGGUGCGAAAGCGUGGGGAGCAAACA